AUUGAACGCUGGCGGCAGGCCUAACACAUGCAAGUCGAACGGCAGCACAGAAGAGCUUGCUCUUUGGGUGGCGAGUGGCGGACGGGUGAGUAAUGUCUGGGAAACUGCCCGAUGGAGGGGGAUAACUACUGGAAACGGUAGCUAAUACCGCAUAACGUCGCGAGACCAAAGUGGGGGACCUUCGGGCCUCACACCAUCGGAUGUGCCCAGAUGGGAUUAGCUAGUAGGUGGGGUAAUGGCUCACCUAGGCGACGAUCCCUAGCUGGUCUGAGGGGAUGACCAGCCACACUGGAACUGAGACACGGUCCAGACUCCUACGGGAGGCAGCAGUGGGGAAUAUUGCACAAUGGGCGCAAGCCUGAUGCAGCCAUGCCGCGUGUAUGAAGAAGGCCUUCGGGUUGUAAGGUACUUUCAGCGGGGAGGAAGGCGGUGAGGUUAAUAACCUCGCCGAUUGACGUUACUCGCAGAAGAAGCACCGGCUAACUCCGUGCCAGCAGCCGCCGUAA
rnacentral:rRNA from 1 species